rnacentral:rRNA from 1 species
CAGUAGCCACGGGAAUACGUAGGUGGCAAGCGUUGUCCGGAAUUAUUGGGCGCAAAGGGCUCGCAGGCGGUUUCUUAAGUCUGAUGUGAAAGCCCCCGGCUCAACCGGGGAGGGUCAUUGGAAACUGGGAAACUUGAGUGCAGAAGAGGAGAGUGGAAUUCCACGUGUAGCGGUGAAAUGCGUAGAGAUGUGGAGGAACACCAGUGGCGAAGGCGACUCUCUGGUCUGUAACUGACGCUGAGGAGCGAAAGCGUGGGGAGCGAACAGGAUUAGAUACCCCGGUAGUCCCUGUCUCUUAUAC